rnacentral:misc_RNA from 1 species
UUUGCCAGUUGUGAGGGAUACUCUUUAUGAUGAUGCAAUGUUUUAUAGAACAUCGAGGAUGGGUUAUCCUCAUAAUGAAACCAGUUCAUUGGUUGCAUUUCGCAACUUUGAUGAGGAAAUGAGACGUCCAGGAGUUUGGGAAUCAGACCAAGGUGCCACAUCUACAGCAGAAAACCCUCGAGAUAAUCUUGCUUCUUUGUACCGUCCUCCAUUUCAUCUAAUGUUUCAUGGUUCAUUUGAAAAGGCAAAAGGUGCUGCUUCUGUUCAGGACAAAUGGCUCCUGGUGAAUAUACAAUCCACAAAGGAGUUCAGCUCUCAUAUGCUUAAUCGGGAUACAUGGGCAAAUGAAGCUGUUGCUCAAACCAUCAGUACUAAUUUUAUCUUUUGGCAGGUAUAUGAUGAUACAAGUGAGGGGAGGAAAGUCUGCACAUAUUACAAAUUGGACUCUAUUCCUGUGGUGCUUGUCAUUGACCCAAUAACGGGACAAAAGAUGCGUGCAUGGAGUGGAAUGAUACAGCCUGAGAGUUUGCUAGAGGAUCUAGUACCAUUCAUGGAUGGUGGCCCGAGGGAUCACUAUGCAACUCUAUCACAUAAGCGCCCAAGGGGAAGUUCUCAGGCUCCACAGAAAAGCAAAGCAUCCUCAGUUGAAACUAAUGAAGAAGACGAGGAAAUGCUACGGGCAUUGGCUGCUUCUAUGGAGGGCGUGAAAGACUCAAAUAUAGUUGCUUCUGACAAUAAAGAUGCAACUACUGCUGAAAAGGAGGAAGAAUCAUGCUCAACUAAGAAACCCACAUAUCCACCACUGCCUGAAGAACCCAAGGGUGACAGGAGCAUUCUUUGCAGGGUUGGACUUCGUCUUCCUGAUGGACGUAGGGUUCAGAGAAAUUUCCUAAAAUCUGAUCCAAUACAGCUGCUGUGGUCAUUCUGCUAUUCCCAGCUAGAGGAAACUGGCAGGCCAUUUCGCUUGACCCAGGCAAUCCCAGGAGCAAAGAGUCUGGAUUAUGACAGUAAAUUGUCUUUUGGAGAGUCAGGACUGGCCCACUCUAUGAUCUCAGUUGCUUGGGAAUGAAAAUGGACCUUAAAUGGCUUUUGAAGAAUUUUGAUUAAGAGUUGCCUGCAUCCUUGUUUUCUUCACUUUUGCUUGCUUGUCGAGACCAGUGCCUCUUAGAACCGUUAAGCCGUACCUUGGUUUAUUUGUUAUGUAAAUUCUCCCUGUUUCACUAUGUUCUGUGAAUCUGUAGCUGU